rnacentral:antisense_RNA from 1 species
GUGCUGGCCACGCAGGAGGCUUAACCUGGCCGGCGCGGGAAUGGGGUGCAGAGAGCAAAGAAAUGUGGCUUUGAUCUUAUGGAUGCCUUACUUUUACAUUAUUUGUACAGUUCUUGCAGUGAGCUUUCCGGACCACUGUCUUGUAUGUUUCCUAAGAAAAGCAAAAAGGGAAGAGAUUGAAGAGAAAGUAGAUUUUCAACUACAAACUUUCAUCCAUUUGCUUUCAGCUUAAGCAAAUGUGCGCAAAGUUGUCAUGGAUUUUUGCAGUCAAUAAAAACCAAGCAAGAAGACUGAAUCCCAAGUCAUCUGGGGCAGAUAAGAAAAGAAACAAUUUGCUGAAACUCCCUCUGCUUGUAACACAACUGACUGAAAUCAGCCGGAAUCAAUAUGGCCAAAUGCAGUUUGCGCACAGCAAGCUUGCUGUUGUCACAGCCUGAAUUUCUACUGCAUGUUUCAUACGAACUCCCUCCAAAUUUGCACAUGGGACCUACCAGGAAGCAUGAAGAGAGAGCCAUGCAUGCCUGAAGACUUCCCAGAUGUUCCCUUUGCUUCCACCAAUCACCUGCUAAUCCCAGGAUCCAACCCUAAACCUUUUGUAAUAAAAUUACUGCCCUAAAGCCAGUACAAGAAGACAGAUUUGAACUGGACUUCUGUUUCCUCAGAAGUUAACUUGCAAUGUGAAGCUUUCCUUUUCUCAAAAACUUGGUGUCAUAGUGUUGGCUUCUAGUGCAGUGAGCCCCUUUUGCUGGAUAACACUACCUGGUAAUUUGACAUACUAGGUGGUUAGUAACUACUGACUGUCUCCAGGUUACAACACAGUUAUUACCUACUUGGGUGAAAAGAGAAGACAGGAAAUACAUUUUGGAGUUGGCUGGCAACCUGUUUACAAAGCGAUUUACAACAGUUCUUUAUUCUUAAGGGGCUAUUCUAAUAUAAGACCUCAGAGAAACAGUGCAGUGUGACAAAGGAGGAAUUUAUCAAAUGAGACAGAAAAAGCAUCAAGGCAAGCUGUGAAAUGGUGCGGUAGGAACCAAAUAGAGAGCCAAAGGAUCUCUCUGUCACUGCAGGCCCUUAGGGGUAAGCAAAUCCUUCCCUGAUCCCUGGUCUCCUUAUCUGUAAAUAAGAAUACUAGCACCCACCUCACUGUGCUGUAAACAUGAUGAGUUCCAACAAUAAUUUACAAAUUGUAAAAUCACACAAAUCUAA